rnacentral:rRNA from 1 species
UACAGGGGGGGCAAGCGUUGUUCGGAAUUACUGGGCGUAAAGGGUUCGUAGGUGGCUAACUAAGUCAGACGUGAAAUCCCUCAGCUUAACUGGGGAACUGCGUCUGAUACUGGAUAGCUUGAGUGCAGGAGAGGAACGCGGAAUUCCAGGUGUAGCGGUGAAAUGCGUAGAUAUCUGGAGGAACACCGGUGGCGAAGGCGGCGUUCUGGACUGCAACUGACACUGAGGAACGAAAGCCAGGGGAGCAAACGGG